rnacentral:rRNA from 1 species
CAAUAGCGUAUAUUAAAGUUGUUGCAGUUAAAAAGCUCGUAGUUGGAUUUGUGGCGUACGGUGUGUUCCGGGCACUUGUUGUCUGUGUAACCUGCUGUUGCCAUCCUUGGGUGGAACCUGUGUGGCAUUAGGUUGUCGUGCAGGGGAUGCCCAUCAUUUACUGUGAAAAAAUUAGAGUGUUCAAAGCAGGCUUAUGCCGUUGAAUAUAUUAGCAUGGAAUAAUGAGAUAGGACUUUUUUGCUAUUUUGUUGGUUUGCGCAAGAAGGUAAUGAUUAAUAGGGACAGUUGGGGGUAUUCGUAUUCCAUUGUCAGAGGUGAAAUUCUUGGAUUUUUGGAAGACGAACUACUGCGAAAGCAUUUACCAAGGAUGUUUUCAUUAA